rnacentral:rRNA from 1 species
ACACGGAGGAUCCGAGCGUUAUCCGGAUUUAUUGGGUUUAAAGGGUGCGCAGGCGGCCAUUUAAGUCAGCGGUUAAAUCGUGGGGCUCAACCCCAUUCUGCCGUUGAUACUGGGUGGCUUGAUUGCGGUCGAGGUUGGCGGAAUUCGUUGUGUAGCGGUGAAAUGCAUAGAUAUGACGAAGAACACCGAUUGCGUAGGCAGCUGACCAGACCGCAAAUGACGCUCAUGCACGAAAGUGCGGGGAUCGAACAGGAUUAGAUACCCUGGUAGUCCGCACAGUAAACGAUGAAUACUUGUUUUCGGCGAUAUAAUGUCGGAGGCAAAGCGAAAGCGAUAAGUAUUCCACCUGGGGAGUACGCCGGCAACGGUGAAACUCAAAUGAAUUGGCGGGG